ACGGGAGGCCAAACCCUUCAGGGGCUGAGUGGAAAUAGUGAAGUGGGGCAGUGGGGCAGUGGUCCGCCCCCCCCCCCCUGUAAGCUCCCCAGGGGGAGGAAUGAGGACCCACACUAGCGUGGUGGCGGUUCUUGGAGGAGACGAGGGAGUCCCUGUGAGAAUCACCAGAGCUCCGGCCGCUGGGCGUGGAUGAGGAUCCCCAGCCCUCGGCCGACCAGGGUCAUUGAGCACACUCUGGAAGGCCACCUGGCCGUGUGGUCAGUUUUCCACGUAUUACGGUCACACGUGUGGCUAGUCUGUGCCAGAUGGCUCUGCUUUAGGCAACUCAAACACUGAAUUGCAGAGAAGCAUUUUUUCCCCUUGGGGAGUGGAAGAACUCAUUAGGUCUCAUUAGGUCAAAGAAAAUGAACAAUUCGGGGGCUUUGGGUUCCAAAGCUCUCUACUGAACAGCAGGGCAUUAGUGCACCAGCUCCCCUAUUGUCGUUUUGUGAGUCAGAUUUUGUCACUUGUUUCAGCCAUGUCCUACUCUUGUUUUUUUGGAAAAGAUACUGGAAGGGUUGGCCAUUUCCUUCUCCCAGCUUAUUUUACAAAUAAGGAAACUGAGGCCAACAGGGUGAAGGGACUUGCCCAGGGUCACAUGCCUAGGAAGUGUCUGAGGCUGAAUUUGAACUCGGGUUCUCCUGACACCAGACCCAACUGCCUACUGCUGCAUGUCUAUGUGUAGACUUCUCUCCUUGAUCCAGUUCAGAGGAUAAAGCCGACCAAGUGUUGCUUAAUCCAUGCCUCCCUCUCCCUGUUUCUGAGAUAAUUUACAGUAUUUUCCAUCUCCUUCCCUCCUUCUCCCAGCAUCUCUCUUUGUCCCCCGAGAUCAUCCAAUAUUAGGAUUCAUAUCCAAUGCGUCCCCCAAUAGCCCUAAUGAUGAGAUGCUUCAGAGGUGUUGUUUUCAGGUAUCAUUUUCCCAAAUAGGAAUAUAAAUAGUUUAACCUUGUUGAAUCCCUUAUAAUUUUUCACUCACACUUACCUUUUGAUGCUCCUCUCGAGUUUUGUAUUUGCAUACCAAAUUUUCUAUUCAGUCCUUUCUUUUCAGAAGAAAUGCAUAAAAGCGCUCAAUAUCUUUUUCCCCCCCGGAAGGACUACACUCAGUUUUGCUGGGUAAGCUAUUCUUGGUUUUAAACCGAAUUCCUUUACCUUCUAGGAUAUUAUAUUCCCAGCUCUCUGUUUCUUUACCUUUAUUUACCGUGUAUUUGCUCAAUCUUAUGUGAACCCCACCUUGGCUCCGUGGCAUCUGAAUUAUUUUUUUUCUGACUGUGUGCAGAAUUUUUUCUUUGACCUGGUAAUUCAGAAUUGUGGCUGUGAGAUUCUUGGGAGUUCGUUUUGUGAUUUCUUUUGUAGUAGAAGCAUUUGUUCUCUGCUUCUAAAAUAUCUGGGCAGGUUUUCUUUCUAAUUUCUCAAAAUAUGUCUACUCUCUUCAUGGAUUUCAGGUAAACCAGUGAUUCAUACAUUAUUUCCGAUCAGUUUUCAAGGUCAGCUAUUUCCCUUUGAGAUAUUUUGCAUUUUCAUCUCUCUUUUUUUGUUUUAAUCUUUAUGUUCUGUCUUAGAGUCAGUACUAAGUAUGGAAGAUGUCAGCAUGGUGAGUGGCCAUCUGGGGGAGGGGAUUCCAACGAUCUGAAGGAGACUGAACUGGCCCCCUGUGUAAAAAGUUUGGGAACCCCUGAUCUAAAAUCUCAACUCUCAAAUAAAACUCUCUCAAAAUAACCAACAAAUCUUUUUCUCUCAGAGGACAAAUCCAGUCAUCUGCUUUCAAGAGGAAGUUCAAGAGAGAGACCCAAAAUUCUCCAACCAACUCCAAUUUACACUGGUUUCUUAAAGAGCCCACAGCAACCUUUUUUUGGUCCCUUUUCUUAAAGGGGACAGUGUAAAAGGAGACAAACCUUUUCUCUGAUCUAAAACCUAUUCUCAAUGAAAGCUAAAUAAAUCCUAAACAUAACAAUUUCAAGGGCUAGGCAGUUGGGGUUAAGUGACUCCCCAGAUAACACACCCAGAAAGUGUCUGAGGCCAGAUUUGAACCCCAAACCUUGCAUCUCUAGGCCUGGUUCUCUAUCCAUUAAGACACCAAGCUAUCUCUCUUAUUUUUUAUUGUUUCUUGAUUUCUCAUGAAGUCAUGCUUCCCUAUAGCCCAUUCUGAUUUUUUACAGUUAUUUUCUUCAGUAUUUUUUGAACCUCUCACUAUUUGGUCACUUUUAUUUUUAAGGAAUUAUUUUUAGUAUUUUUUAAAACUAAGUUGUUAAUUCCCUUUUCAUCAUUUCCUUGCAUAGCUCUCAUUUUCCUUUGUGUGUGUGUGUGUGUGUGUGAAGUCAACAAGCUUUUAUUAAUUCUUACUAUGUGACAGACUCUAUACUAGACACUAGAAAUAAAGAUAUAGAAGCACAUUUUGUAAAACUUCUGCUCUUGUCAUUUCUUUUCCCAGUUUUCCCCUCUACCAUGCUUUAAAAAAAAGUUAUUUUUGCUUUAAAAAAAUUAUUUAGCUCUUCUAGUAAUUCUUGUUUGGCUUGUAUUCAAUCUGUGCUUUUCUUUGAGGCUUUUUAAAAUGUUAUGUUUUUAUUUUUUUAAACAUUUCCCAACUGAAUUUUAAUUUGGUGUGCAGCUCUAAAGAAUCUUGUUCACAUGGGUGAGUUUGACACCUUAGUCUUAGAGAAUUGCUUGGGGCACUGAAAGAUUAAAUGAUGUGUUUAUGGUCCCAUAGCCAGUAUGUGUCAGAGGUGAAACUUGAACACAGUUCUUGACUCUGAAUCCAGCUCUCUAACUAUACUGUCUCUCACUGCACAUAAAAAUUCACAGUCUCUUUGCUAGAUAGUAUGAUAAUGUGUACAUUCAGUUAACUGAUUUUUAUAGGGAAAAGAUUAGGAAAUAUAUUUUGUUUUUAAAAAUUCACUAUACUGAGAUUUUCCUUUGGCUUUCUCAAUGUUUUCUUGUUCUUUUUUUAAAAAAUUUCAUUGUCAUGCAAAACACACUUCAAUAUUGAUCAUUGUUAUAAGAGCAAAGUUAUAGGGAGCCAAAACUCUUUGUCUAUAAAUCAGCAAGUUUUAAGUUAAUCAAUCGAAAACUUAAGUACCCCUACUUAGUACCUUACCAGUGCUAGGCAAAUUGAAAGACUGCAAUUCGUUCCUGUAAAGUGAGGAAGGGAUAGGAAGUGUCAUGGAAAAAGGACUAUAAAAAGUCCUGAACUUCCUGUCCAAGGAACUUCUCCUUGAAACUUCUCCUUUGGAGUUCUUUCGAAGAUGGUUCCUUGAGGCUUUUCAACUUUGACUUCAACAUGGAGCUUUUGAUCUUUCAACCAGUUUUCAGCUAUGGGACUUUGACUUUUGGCUUUGGAGCUUCUUGGAGUUGGAGACUUUCUUGCUGGGUUCACUACUGCCUCAAUGAACUUAGCUCACAAGGGUUUUUCUGCAUUAGGACCUUGCCUGGAUCCUGUCCUGCUUGCUGAUGAGUGACUAGGAUUCUCAUGUGGAAAUUGGAACUCUUUUGGGGAGUGAGCUUCAUUUCACCAGAUCAGCAUUUAAGGUAGGCUAGUCAGUCUCCUUACCUCUUUCCCUUCCACAAUUCCCUCUUUUUACUGUAAAGAGAGUUUUCUUAAUCUCUCCCUUUUUCUCUUUAAGAAGCAAGGGAGCAAAAAGAUUUCUGAGUAAGAGCCCCCCGCUUCCCCCACUGUGCAGGCUGUCAGUUGGUGACAGGAGGGUAUGGCCAAGAGUUGGUAGGUAAGUUGCAGGCAAUUGAAACGGGCUUUUGUCUCUGGGUUCCCUGAAGAGAAGAGGUGUCUGUCUGUGUCUCUGAGACAAACUGGCAGUUGGAAAAUAAUUGACAUUGGAUAAAGAGAAAUGGACUUAAGGAGGUGGAAGGUGAUUAAUGCUUAUUGAUUAAUUUAGGUAGUUAGAUGGUGGGUAUAUUCUUAGAGAGAGUAGGUAGAUAGGCCAGGCCCUUGGAGGCAGAUAGAUUUACGGAUUUUUAGAAAUCUUAGUUAGGAUUGGGGUCUUAGGUAUAGGUCUAAGAGUUCUCUCACUUUCUUCCUUUCUAUUUGCUAUCUAUUUGAGGAACUUUCCUCAAAAUAAACUGUUUUGUGUUUUACUAAACUGCUCUCCUGACUUUUGUUCAAACUCCUACCCCAAAAUUUUAACCCCCUUCACAUUACUAAUAUUCCAAUUAAACAAAAUUGUUAAAAGCUGCUAAUAGUUUUUCUGACGGAAGGGAUAACAAUUAGCGACCACUUUUUAUAACUCUUACUUAGUCAAAAUUCCAAUUUAACCAUUAUAACCCCAAAUUAAAACCAAAAAUACACCAAUGUGAAAAAGGACUCCAACAGUUCUUUCUCUGGAUGUAGAGAGCAUUCUUCACUUAGGGAUGUUUUAAACUUUGUCUUUAUCGAUAUUUGUGUUCCUUAGCUCCUUAUGGUCAGGUUCUUGUUGUUGUUUGCUCAUUUUUCUAGCUUAAUCCUUAUAGGCUUUUUUUUUUAGGUAAUUUUGUAAUGAUGACUUUAGGCCUAUAAGGAGCACGUUUACUGUUUAUGCCUCUUAACAUUUAUUUGCAAUAUCUCUGUGCUCUAAUACAUGGUCAGGUUUUGGAAAGGUUAUAUUUGGUGUUGAGAAAUAAGUCUUUUAACAGCAUCUACAGUCGUUCAUUCAGUUCUGCAUUUUCCUUUCCAUUUAUCUUUCUGUUAUUACUUUUGUCCAAAACUAAGAGAGGAACAUUAAAAUCUCAUACUGUAUGUCUUGUACAACUCAAUUUCCUUUAUAUACUUAGAUUCUAAGGAAUUUGGAACAUAUACAUGUGUUCUCCCCCCCCCCCCCCCAAACCAAACAAACAACUCUUCCUUUCUUUCUUAUAACAAUCCUAAGGCAGAAGGGCAAGGGCUAGGCAGUUGGGGUUAAGUCACUUGCCUAGGGCCACCUAGCUAGGCAGUGUCUGAGAGCAGAUUUGAACCUAGUUCCUCCCAGCUCCAGACUUGGUGCCACCCAAGUGUCCUGGAAGACGUUGUUUAGCAUUGACAUUGAUCUGUUGUCUACAAGUCCUUCCACAUCACAUAGGCUCCUUUCCACCAGCAUAAUCGUCUUGAUUAUCCCUUUUUAUGUUGCAAAUGUUCAUUCUUGUUUUGUCUGAUAGCAUGAUUCGAACAAUCUUUAAAAUUACUUGAUCCGUAAUCAUUUCUUUGUAGCCGUCCAUUCCCAGUCUAGGUAUAUCUUUGUUUCUGCUCUUGUGAGCACUUUGUUGUCUUACUUCAAUUGUCACCCUUUUCAUUUUAUUGAAUUCUGGGUGAAGUUAUGAGAAUCAGAUUUAGAUUUCAAUAUGUCUUAGAUUUGAAGUUAGAGUCCAGUUUCUACCUUCCUUCAUUUAUCUCUGUUUUUUCCUACAUUAGGAUCGUUUUUUGUUCCCUAUUCUCUAUACAGACCAUACUUUUCGCCAGAUAUUUAAAUUCGUAAAACAGACCUGACUGUGCCGUUUCACUGCUCAGUGCCAGGGAGUGUCCCUGAGACACUGUGGUGGUAGCCCUCCAUCUGGCUCGCUUACGUGUCUGGACUUCUCUAAUAUUUCCAGCUUUGCAGUCUGUAUUUCAGCCAGAGCUGUCUUCGGAUGAGCAGAUUCUCUCCUCCCUCGUGCUGGAUGGAUUUCUUUCACUUCCACCUUGGAAUCUUGAGCUUCCUGAGAGGUCAGGGCACUUCGGGGAUCCUUCCCUGCCAGCCCAGGUGACUUCCAAACACAGUAGCUAGAACUCAAGAAGUCUCCUGAGACCACCAUCAAUUAUAAAUAGUGAGGUUCUGAAAAUCAUGGAGGCAGCAUUGCCUUCUAGACAAAAGGCAAUAGCUUAAGUUCUCAUUCAAAUACAUCCUACCCAGGGGACCCUGGGCAAUUUCUCUGACCUCCCAGUGAUCUAAGCACCACUUUAAAAGGAGAAGUUACAGAGAAAUUAUUUGAGUUGUUGCUUUUUAAAGAAUCAAAGUGUUUAGUAUCUAGUCUCUUCCCAAGUAUCAUCAUUUGACAAUCCACGAUGCCAGCAUUCCUUGCUACUUCAAAAGAUCCCUGCUUUCCUUCCACCCAAAGAAAGUGCCACCCAGUAUACUUUCGCUGCUGUUAAGGAAAAGGUGUUCAGUUUCUGUGGGAUGGUUGCUGUGAAUGUGAAAUACAAACAAAGCCACGAACAGGCCAAGGAUGCAUUCUUGCCUCCCACCUAGGCUUGGAGAAGAUGCUCCAGGUGAUGAUUUAAGAAGUGGCAAAAGAGACUGGAAGGUGAUGAAAAGCUGAAGGCGCCAUAGUUUUCAAAGGCAUUUACAGCAAAAUAGAACUGAGACAAGCUGAAUUGGCAACUAUGAAGCACCCUCAAUACAGAAGCCACCCACUGCAAAAAUGGCAAGAUGAUGAUGGUGUAAUAAUUAUCGAUGGAAAUCUUUCACAAAGAAGGAAGGUGAAGAGUAGAAAAUAACAAGAAAUGGUUAACAAAACUCUUGUUGAUCUCGGGGAAAAUAAUGUGCAAGCUGAAACCUCAAAUCAUAUUUUCACUUAUAUUUUUGCUAAUACUUGCUGAAUCUCCAAAGUUGUCUUGGGAAGUAGUAGGCAGAAGGUAUAGAAAAGUAAAGUUAUACAUUUGGAGUUGGGUAGAACAUUAGAAAUCCUAACUCUAGAACUAAGCCAGAAUUGAGCAGAAACCCUAAGCCUUAAACAUCUUUAUGAAUAGUUCCACCAUCAAUUAGCCAUACUCCUUCAAUUGUACUUAUCUUUAAUUCAUUGUUCCAGAUGACAACUUUUUCUUGAUUGAUAAACUUCAUAGACACUCCAUCUUCAAUAAUCUAUCUUACUUAAUAAUUGGCUUAAGGAUUGAUUUUAUUUUUUAUUUUUUUUAAACCCUCACCUUCCAUCUUGGAAUCAAUACUGUGUAUUGGUUCCAAGGCAGAAGAGUGGUCAGGGCUAGGCACUGGGGGUUAAGUGACUUGCCCAGGGUCCCCCAGCUGGGAAGUGUCUGAGGCCAGAUUUGAACCCAGGACUUCCCAUCUCUGGGCCUGACUCUCAAUCCACUGAGCUACCCAGCUGCCCCGUGGCUUAAGGAUUUAAAAAAAGUUUGUGCUUAAAAUUUGUAUAUGCAUCGAACAUGUUAAAAAUAUACUACUUUGAGAUGAAUAACUUCACUUUGUCGCCCUUAAAUGCUGCUUAUAUUGAUUUCAUGUAUGUAGAUUGUAGAGAUACUAUUUUUUACAGAUAAAGAAAGAGGAGAAGUGUAGUUCAGCCGUCAUGGAGAUAAUGAUACCUGACUAGCUUUAGAAAUGUCAAUUCUUUUCUUGGGAAUGGCCAUUUUUAGGCAGUUGUAGGAUAUACUUAAAAUUCAGGAUGGUUUUCUCUGGCAUUUGGAUUCUUCACCUUUUCUUAGGAGUGGCUCAGGUAGCUCCUGCCUUUCUUAUCAGUAGUUCAAGUACAUGAUGAGCUCUUCCCUUUUAGUUCUAUUAGCACGAGAAAGUCACCUCUAAGUUCUGCUUCUUAGUUUCGUCACCAUUCAAAUGGGAGCACCCAGAACACACCUGCUGCCUUUCUCACAAGGUGAUGUGGAGAUUGUUUUGAAAAAGCCCAAGCAUGCCAAUGUGAGGUGAGUUUACUCUCACGAGCCCAGAUGGCCAAGAUUCCAAAUGGUCCCGCUUUGGGAAGCUGGCACGCGUAAAUGUGAGGAGCCAAGCUAGAAAGUCCUCUCCCUUCUGAAGGGUAGCGGAUCAACUCAAGAGCCUGGAGAGUCUGGAGGUGGCCACACAAGCCAUCAUGUAUGGAAAAUCUAGGAAUGCUGGAAUUCCCAUUCGGUUCCCUGGUGCCCUAAUCCCUGUGGCUGCUUCCCCCUCCUUAAUAUCUGGUGUAUGUCGGACAAUUUUGGUAACAUUUGAAGUGUAUGUUUUCCAAAGCUCGGAUUGUAAUUCACACAGAGCUGCAAACGGGACGAGGACUCCGAGUAGUUUCAAACGUUCAAGAGUUCUCCUGUGAUUUGGUUAGAUGUAUUUCGGACACUGUAUAUAGCUGAAGAUCGGUAUUGGAGUCUACAUGAAGACAUGGUUGGGUAAAGCAGAUAGUAAUAACAGAAAAAGGUCUCGAGAGUGUCGUGAACCCACAAGGACAAAUUAAGUCGCCAAAAAUGAACAAGUAACCUAUCCGCACAAGGGUAACGUGGAAAUCGAAAGAAAAGGCCGUGGGUCUUAUAUUGCUCUUUCGUGACUUUUUAGAUCCAAUAUUCAUUGGGGUUUCUCAGUCCUACCUUCUUUUCCCAUGGUGGAUCCAUCUGAAGGCAAUCCGGUAUCAGAAACCUCGGGGUGCAGGGAGCUGAUUCAGGUGCCCUUGUGCCUCAUAUUCAUACAUUAGCUCAAGAUGACUCUUCACAAAACAAAACGUAGAACAUAAUAAGUCUAUCAUGUAAACCUCAAAUUUCCUUAGACUUAUAAAUGUUGGAAAUUUCACCAUUGGGAUAUUUCAUACUUGGAAAAUUUCUUACUGAUAGUCUAUUGGAAUGGGAACUCCAUUGGCAUGGGAGGUUCCUUCUCUUCCCUUCUUAAGAUUACUUUAGGACAGAAACCCUUUGCUGAACAAUGGAAAGGACUUUGACCUAUGCUUGAGCAUAGAACAGGAAUUUCUUUGAGUCUUGAUUGAUUUUAGAAUUGAUACAAUGGAGUUACUCCACCCUAUUCAGUCCUAAUAGGAUUGAGUAAGGGCUGCAGCCUAGAUCAAAAUUUAAUUAUUCCAAUCUCUACCAUACUCAAGUUAACAGGAUUUAGAAAGGGCUGGAACAAAGGAGUAAAGAUUUAAUCAUUUGAAAAAUAUGACCUUCAACAGACAUGUGCAAAAAGCCAGAAACCUCUGGGCGGUCCUGGGUUAAGCGAGAGCCUCCAUUGACAGGGAAAUUGAUGAAGAGUGAUUGGUAGAUGUGAGGACUGAGGGGAGGCAACUUGGAUGGUGUCCUUAAAGAUAGGAGGGUCUGGAGACUGAGGGGGGGAGAGGAUUGAGUUUUUGGUCGGUGUGGUUCCUGGGCUCUGAGAAAGCUUGCUCUGAAGGAAGCUGAAGGUGGGGGCCUCUGAGACUGUUUCUCCAUUUUGGACACGUGAGUGAAAGGGACUGAUCUCUUUUCUUUGCCCCAGCUAUCUAAGGGCUUGGGCCUUUUGGCCCAGCCUAAACAGAAGGGGUAUUUAAGCCCUAUUCCCUUCUCUCCCCUUUCUCUCUCUAUAUAUAUCUCUAAUUCCUUUCUUGCUCCUAUUGUAAUUAAACUCCAAAAAAAGGCUGACGGCUGACUUGAGUUUUUCAUUUAGGAAUUACAUAGCUGAUUCCUUGGCGACCUUAAAUUAAUAUAUAUCAGUCUUUUAAAGUGAUUCCCUUGUAACAUUGUGGCUGACCACACGGGAGUCUAAAGAAUCCUCUCAAUAAAACUUUUUCCUUGCCUUUUUACUA